AGACAUGGUUUCCUGUGCACCUAAGACUUGUUUGUAUUUUUCAUUCGGAAUAAACAUUUUUUUGGCGAUCUUCGUUAGUGUUUUAGCCAUUUAUUUUAAUACCUUGGAUAAGGAAACCGUUGAAAAUAAGGAUGUUCCUAAGCCAUCGACCAAUAUUGCCCAAAAACUUCUUCAAGCCAACGUUAGCCUUGUCGGGGAUCUACAAAGUUCUGUUUGUUUUAAUUGCGAUUAUUUAGGUGAAGAUGUAAAUACGAAUGAAACAUUGUAUGAUGAUAUCUAUACGACGGAUCGUCAAAAUAAACUGUGCUGUUUAAAGGACACGGCCAUUCAAGAAUUUAUCCGUGCGGUAAGUAUAUAUAGUAUCAAGUCACUAUCGAAAACGAAAGUUGGUUAUUCAACAUUCUUUAUAUUCUUUUUCUCUCUCUCGUUAAUUGUUAAUUUGAUAUUUUUUUUUAAAUAUAAGAAUUUUAAAUCUUUUUAAUCAAGCUGUUAAUGUAUUUUAUAACUUAUGAGAAAAUGUUAAUUUAAUUAACAAAAUGUGACUCGGCACAAAUUGAGCAUACAUGCAUUUUGAUUCGAAACCGAAACUGAUCAUUAAUUGAACAUUUACAAUCGAAUAAUUUGAUUUACUGAAUAUCAAACGAAAACAACUUUGAUAUCAGAUUUAAAACUCAUCUAAAACUGAUAUUUAUAUCUAUCCAAAAAAAAAAAAUAUAUAUAUAUAUAUUACACGUGUAUAUACAUGUAAAUUUAAAGAACCUGAUGAAAAACCCAUUUUAUUAAGUUAUUAUAUGAAGAAAAAAGGAGGAAAAUAGAUGUAUCUGUUGCAGUAAUUGGUGUUUAUAAGGUCUGAACCUUCUGAGAAUAUUACUUAAAAUCUUACUUAAUGUUUAAUUAACUGAUAUAAUUAUUUUCAUUUUCUUACAUUUUCUACAGAUUCAGAAUGAAGACAACCACAUUGGUAUGUUAUAUGCAAAUCAUCUUUACAGAAUAUAAAAUCAAUCUAAUUCUAAUUCAAAUAAUGAUUAUAGAAUGAUUAUAGCAACCAGAGGUAUGAUAUAGUUUCUGUAAAUAUAGAAUAUCGGUUUUCCUUUUACAGGUAACGCGAAUUCAGUCAGUGAUUCUUUUCAUUGGUGGAGAGAGCGACCUUGCGCUGCACAUCUAUAUUUGGACCGGAAAAAGUCGAUCUCAAAGGAAAACAAACUUCGUUGGGUAGCUAGCGAUUCACUCGGCACGGCAUUUACAAAGGAUAUAGAUCUGCAGAACGCGACCCAUCUGCAAAUAAACCAAAGCGGGAACUAUUUUAUAUAUUCCUCUACCACCUUCGAUCAUAGCAAAGACAUCUACGUGGAGACGUUUUAUCAGAGUCUGACCAAGUUUCACCCACUGUUGCCGCGGACGGGUGACGUUGACCUCGUGUUUAGUAAGUUUGGUGGCUCCAAAACAUCCGACAAGCAUCACACAAAUUUUCUGGCGGGAGUGUUCGAAUUGCAGCGCGGGUACCUGAUAUCGAGCUCUCUAUCCCAGAGUGCACACAACUUCCUCGAUCAAUCUAAUCAAGUAAAUAACUAUAUAGGGUUGUUCAAGCUGUGAGAUAUGGGAGAUACUGUGUUUGAUACUCAUUCAUUAGAGUUUCACAUUUUUGAAAUCUCAAAACGUUGUUUAAAUACAUUUGUUGUAUCUAUGUCUGUACAUUUUUUUAUUACACAAUAAACUAUUGUUUUAAUU
rnacentral:misc_RNA from 1 species